rnacentral:rRNA from 1 species
AUUGAACGCUGGCGGCAUGCCUUACACAUGCAAGUCGAACGGUAACAGGGAGCUUGCUCCGCUGACGAGUGGCGAACGGGUGAGUAAUACAUCGGAACGUGCCCAGUAAUGGGGGAUAGCCCGGCGAAAGCCGGAUUAAUACCGCAUACGCCCUGAGGGGGAAAGUGGGGGACCGCAAGGCCUCACGUUAUUGGAGCGGCCGAUGGCUGAUUAGCUAGUUGGUGAGGUAAAGGCUCACCAAGGCGACGAUCAGUAGCUGGUCUGAGAGGACGAUCAGCCACACUGGGACUGAGACACGGCCCAGACUCCUACGGGAGGCAGCAGUGGGGAAUUUUGGACAAUGGGGGCAACCCUGAUCCAGCAAUGCCGCGUGUGCGAAGAAGGCCUUCGGGUUGUAAAGCACUUUUGUCAGGGAAGAAAUCCCUUGGGCUAAUACCCUAGGGGGAUGACGGUACCUGAAGAAUAAGCACCGGCUAACUACGUGCCAGCCGCCGCCGUAA